UGUAUCUGAAGUCUGACGAGGAUGAGAACCUCCGGGGGCAAGAGGUUCGACUCGAGCGAAGCGAGAGAACGUUGCGUCAGCAACGGCCCGCAGGGCGAGCCACGCAGUGGCGAGUCAUCCUCUAUCACCGACC
rnacentral:sRNA from 2 species